UACGGGAGGCAGCAGUGGGGAAUAUUGCACAAUGGGCGAAAGCCUGAUGCAGCUAUGCCGCGUGUAUGAAGAAGGCCUUAGGGUUGUAAAGUACUUUCAUCGGGGAGGAAAAAACAAAACUAAUAAUUUUAUUUCUUGACGUUACCCGAAAAAGAAGCACCGGCUAACUCCGUGCCAGCAGCCGCGGUAAUACGGAGGGUGCUAGCGUUAAUCAGAAUUACUGGGCGUAAAGAGCACGUAGGUGGUUUUUUUAAGUCAGAUGUGAAAUCCCUGGGCUUAACCUAGGAACUGCAUUUUGAAACUGAAAUACUAGAGUAUCGUAGAGGGAGGUAGAAUUCUAGGUGUAGCGGUGAAAUGCGUAGAUAUCUGGAGGAAUACCUGUGGCGAAAGCGGCCUCCUAAACGAAUACUGACACUGAGGUGCGAAAAGCGUGGGGAGCAAACAGGGAUUAGAUACC
rnacentral:rRNA from 1 species